rnacentral:sRNA from 1 species
ACCAGGCAUGAGCAAAUAAUUAACGCGAAAAGUUAACUCGGGCGAUUCAUGAACAAAUUUUAAGGACGAUUAUACAGCAAUGGAUUGCGUAAUAAUCGUCGCGAAGAGUUGCUAAAACUUCCGCACAUGCACUAGAUUGCUCAAUAAUAUCGAAAAAGAGUGUUUCACGGCUCAUACGGGCGAUUAUAACGCAAUGGAUUGUACGAAAAUCGUCGCGAAGAGUUGCAAAAAACAUCCACAGACACAAUGGAUUGCUCAAUAAUGUCGUAAAAGAGUGCUUCGGGUCUCAUACGGGAGAAAAAUUGCGUAAAAUUCUUCCAGAAGAUUGCUAUAUGUGUGUGUUCUGCACUGGUUGGUCCUUUAUUUUGUCGCUUGUGAAAGCAUUUCUAAACUGAUUUAAAAUUUUUUAAGAUUUGGAAAUCUUAAAGAAUUUAAUAUUUUUUUGUCGCGAUAUAUGCUACGGUCCGAUCCUGCAGUCGAAAGUUAUGCGUGUUACAAAUCAAAAAAUGUGAAAAAGAAAACUUGGCCCAGCACUAUCAAUUUUGCUUACCGUACUGUAAAGAAGACUUAAUGUAGAUGCGUUUUAAGUGUAUUUUUAAUAAAUUGUGUUAACUCUAGAGAUCUGUGAAUUACAAUAUUGGCAUUUUUGAACAA